UACGGGGGGGGGCAAGCGUUGUUCGGAAUUACUGGGCGUAAAGGGCUCGUAGGCGGCCAACUAAGUCAGACGUGAAAUCCCUCGGCUUAACCGGGGAACUGCGUCUGAUACUGGAUGGCUUGAGGUUGGGAGAGGGAUGCGGAAUUCCAGGUGUAGCGGUGAAAAUGCGUAGAUAUCUGGAGGAACACCGGUGGCGAAGGCGGCAUUCUGGACCGAUAUUGACGCUGAGGAGCGAAAGCCAGGGGAGCAAACGGG
rnacentral:rRNA from 1 species